rnacentral:rRNA from 1 species
UACGGAGGGUGCAAGCGUUAUCCGGAUUCACUGGGUUUAAAGGGUGCGUAGGAGGGCAGGUAAGUCAGUGGUGAAAUCUCCAAGCUUAACUUGGAACUGCCGUUGAUACUAUCUGUCUUGAAUAUUGUGGAGGUGAGCGGAAUAUGUCAUGUAGCGGUGAAAUGCUUAGAUAUGACAUAGAACACCAAAUUGCGAAGGCAGCUCACUACACAAUCAUUGACUCUGAGGCACGAAAGCGUGGGGAUCAAACAGG